GAUGAAGAACGCAGCGAAAUGCGAUAAGUAAUGUGAAUUGCAGAAUUCAGUGAAUCAUCGAAUCUUUGAACGCACCUUGCGCUCUUUGGUAUUCCGAAGAGCAUGCCUGUUUGAGUAUCAUGAAAAUAUCAACCUUGACUUGGGUUUUGUGCUCUAGUCUCGGCUUGGAAUUGGGUGCUUGCCGCUUUUACGAGCGGCUCACCUUAAAUGUAUUAGCUGGAUCUGUCUUUGAGACUUGGUUUGACUUGGCGUAAUAAGUAUUUCGCUAAGGACAUUCUUCGGAGUGGCCUCGUUUCUAGGACGCUUGUCCGCUUUCCAAUACAAGUUCCACCUCGUGGACAUGACUUUUUAUUAUCUGGCCUCAAAUCAGGUAGGACUACCCGCUGAACUUAAGCAUAUCAAUAAGCGGAGGA
rnacentral:misc_RNA from 1 species